rnacentral:hammerhead_ribozyme from 1 species
GUCCAGAUGACAAGUCCCAAAUGGGACGAAACGCUCGUCCUGGAU